rnacentral:sRNA from 1 species
AUAUCUCUCUGUACGGGAAGGAUGAGAAGCUUCGACUAAGGUUCGAUUCGAGCGCAGCGAGAAAGCGUUGCCGCAGGCAACGACCCGAAGGGCGAAGCGCGCAGCGCUGAGUAAUCCUUCCCCCACAACCA